rnacentral:sRNA from 1 species
GCUGGGUGUGGUGGCGCAAGUCUGUAAUCCCAGUGGCUUGGGAGGCUGAGGCAGGAGGAUCAUGAGUUCAAAGCUAGCCUCAGCAACUUAGUGAGGCCCUAAGCAAUUCAGGGAGACCCUGCCUCAU